rnacentral:rRNA from 1 species
GUCGAACGCUGGCGGCGUGCUUAACACAUGCAAGUCGAACGGUAAGGCCCUUCGGGGUACACGAGUGGCGAACGGGUGAGUAACACGUGGGUGAUCUGACCUGCACUUCGGGCUAAGCCUGGGAAACUGGGUCUAAUACCGGAUAGGACCACUGCCUGCAUGGGUGGUGGGGGAAAGCUUUUGCGGUGUGGGAUGGGCCCGCGGCCUAUCAGCUUGUUGGUGGGGUGAUGGCCUACCAAGGCGACGACGGGUAGCCGGCCUGAGAGGGUGCCCGGCCACACUGGAACUGAGAUACGGCCCAGACUCCGACGGGAGGCAGCAGUGGGGAAUAUUGCACAAUGGGCGCAAGCCUGAUGCAGCGACGCCGCGUGAGGGAUGACGGCCUUCGGGUUGUAAACCUCUUUCAGCACCGACGAAGCGCAAGUGACGGUAGGUGCAGAAGAAGUACCGGCCAACUACGUGCCAGCCGCCGCAGUAA